UGCUACCAUAGAAGAAGAAUGUAGACCGAUGUCCGCUGAUCGUUUCCGUGUAAAUCUUAGCAUUGCUUUAGCCGUCAAGCUAAAGGUUUAGCUUCAUACUGCCAUAUUUUCAGAGGAACAAAAUAUUUAAACGGUCUCAGAUCAUGGACAGUGAAGUGUCUGACACUGACCAUGUAGCAGUGCCUGAGAACACUGGUAUGGAGGGGGAGAACGCACCUCUUUACUGUAUUUGUCGGAAACCAGACAUCAACUGCUCCAUGAUGCUUUGCCAUGAUAAAUUGGUCAGUUGACAACUAGGAGCCGUACACCUUAACCUCAGAGGCCAGGACAUCCAGGGGCAGUGCGAACACGAACUUCUUUAAAUGGGAUGCAAGAUGGACUACAGAGGGCCACCCCGUCGCCAGACAACCAAGUGCUGUCCCUGUCCACGGCCAGUGUGAGAAGGACUCUCACUAAAGUCAACCCACACAAAGCUGCUGGACCAGACAAUAUACCUGGACGCGUGCUCUGAGCCCGUGCUGACCAGCUGACUGAUGUCCUAGCGGGCAUCUUUAACAUCUCCCUGAGUCAAGCUGUUGUGCCACAGUGCUUUAAAACCACCACCAUCAUCAUACCUGUCCCCAGACCUUCCCAAAGCCUAAUUACACAAUGAUUGCCUGAGCCUAUUCUUGUUAAAUGAUGAAAAACUCAAAGGCACGUUUGGGCAGUGGAUCUGUGUGAAAUCAGCAGCUUGCAAAACUAAAUCAAAAUGUGUGCAAUUGAUUCUAAAAAUAGAAAUCACAAUAAAGUUAAACAUUUACUAAAACCGCCAUUCAGUCAUCUGAGAAUCUUUACUCAUGAAAUUAUAACGGUUAGAUGAAUGUAUAUGCAGUGAUUUACUGAUCAAUGAUAAAAGGGGAGAUUUAUGCAGUAACGAAGACUGUCAUGAAAAGUAUUUGGCAUCUGAUCUCCUGUAACCUGCGGAGCUAAGCUGUUUUACCAGCUCUGCUCUCUGAUUUUUCUUUUAUGAAAAAACACAAGUUGUCAAAGUUAUUUGUUUGCAAAUGUAUUUCAGAAAUAUCGACAUACUUUUUUUAAUCAGCAGAAACUUUAUGUCAGUAGUGCAAAAACCUGCACUGAUCUGACCUCAUUUCUUCCUCAUCCUGAUUCCUGACCUGGGAAGGGAGAGAAAUAUUUGUUUUUGUUUGUCUUCUUGUUUUAUUUAAUUCCUUGUGGGAUUUGGAUCCAACACGUAAAGUAUGC